GCGCAUCCAGUUUUGGCGUUCAGCUUACCUGGCAAGCAAAGCAUCCCUGUCCUCGAUUUCAAAACGGAGCCGAGAGGCCCAACGAGAGCCGAAGCCACAGCAGCUGCAAGCUUUUGCUUCGUCCGUCCGUCCGCCCGCCCGUCCCCGCAUCAUUCCCGAAGUCCCAGCAUGGAGUUGGAGGGGCCGUGGGCGCGGGUGCUGCACCUGCACGAUGCGUGCGAGUGGGGCCGGGCGGUGCGGGCGCGCGCGGUGGCGCCGGCGCUGGAGGCCGCGGCGUGGGCGUGCCUCGCCAUGUCGGUCAUGCUCGUGCUCGAGGUGUGCUACAUGAGCGUCUCCAGCUUCGUCGCCGUCAACCUGCUGCGCCGGACCCCACAGCGGCGGUACAGCUGGGAGCCCAUGCCCUCCGGGACCGCCCGGGGGGACGAUGAGGAGGCAGCGGUGGGCGAUGGAGGCGGCGAGGCGUACCCGAUGGUACUCGUGCAGAUCCCCAUGUACAACGAGAGGGAGGUCUACAAGAUCUCUAUUGGAGCGGCAUGUGCCCUCACAUGGCCGCCCGACCGUAUUAUAAUCCAAGUAUUGGAUGAUUCCACCGACCCAUUCAUUAAGGAACUUGUGGAGUUUGAAUGCAAGGAUUGGGCCAGCAAGAAAAUCAACAUAAAAUAUGAAAUUCGGGAAAGUAGGAAGGGAUACAAAGCAGGAGCCCUGAAGAAGGGCAUGGAACAUAGUUACGCCCAAGAAUGUGAUUUUGUUGCCAUCUUUGAUGCAGAUUUUCAACCUGAUCCUGACUUCCUUUUAAGAACUAUACCAUUUCUUGUGCAUAACCCGAAGAUUGCUCUAGUACAGACACGUUGGGAGUUUGUGAACUACAAUAUUUGCCUACUGACAAGGAUACAGAAGAUGUCACUAGAUUAUCAUUUUAAGGUAGAGCAGGAAUCAGGGUCAUCUGUGCAUGCCUUCUUUGGUUUCAACGGUACGGCUGGCGUGUGGCGGGUAUCAGCUAUCGGUGAAGCAGGAGGAUGGAAGGAUCGCACCACUGUGGAAGACAUGGACUUGGCUGUGCGGGCAAGCCUCAAGGGAUGGCAGUUCCUGUAUGUUGGUGAUAUAAGGGUUAAGAGUGAACUCCCAAGUACUUUCAAGGCCUACCGUCAUCAACAGCACAGGUGGACUUGUGGUGCUGCCAACCUCUUCAGGAAAAUGGCCGGGGACAUUGUUAUAAGCAAGGGGGCGACUGUAUGGAAGAAGCUUCACCUUCUGUACAGCUUCUUCUUCGUCCGAAGGGUCAUCGCUCCCAUCCUAACGUUCCUGUUCUACUGCGUCGUGAUCCCACUGUCUGUCAUGGUCCCCGAAGUCAGCAUCCCUGCCUGGGGAAUGUUCUACAUUCCCACUGCCAUCACCAUCAUGACAGCCAUCAGGAAUCCUUGUCAUAUUUCGUGCACGCCAGGUCUAUCCAUCUGGUGCCAAUAUGGAUCCUGUUCGAGAACGUCAUGUCCAUGCACCGAAUGCGCGCGGCGCUGACGGGGCUGCUGGAGACCACGUACGUGGACGAGUGGGUGGUCACCGAGAAGGUGGGCGAUCAUGUGAAGGACAAGCUCGAGGUCCCUCUCCUUACACCGGUGAAGCCAACCGAGUGCGUCGAGAGGAUCUACUUGCCUGAGCUCCUGGUCGCGUUCUACCUGUUGCUAUGCGCGUCGUACGAUGUCGUGCUCGGAGCCGGGCACUACUACCCGUACAUCUUCCUCCAGGCCUUCGCUUUCCUCGUGCUGGGGUUUGGCUUCGCCGGCACCGUGACGCCCUGCUCUUGUUCAUAAGCCAUCGCGCGCAUAGCGCUAGCGCCCAUGGCUAUUUUGCUGCAUUCUUCCCUGAUUCGCCUCCUCUAAAGUCUGUAACUAGAAAAGAGAAAGCGAUUCUUUCUGUAAAUCGAACAGAAUAAACGCUGCACGCGUGUGCAGCAUUUGAGCAGUAACUUGGUUUUUUUGAGCUGA